CACUCCUACGGGAGGCAGCAGUGGGGAAUAUUGGACAAUGGGCGCAAGCCUGAUCCAGCCAUGCCGCGUGAGUGAUGAAGGCCCUAGGGUUGUAAAGCUCUUUCACCGGUGAAGAUAAUGACGGUAACCGGAGAAGAAGCCCCGGCUAACUUCGUGCCAGCAGCCGCGGUAAUACGAAGGGGGCUAGCGUUGUUCGGAUUUACUGGGCGUAAAGCGCACGUAGGCGGACUAUUAAGUCAGGGGUGAAAUCCCGGGGCUCAACCCCGGAACUGCCUUUGAUACUGGUAGUCUUGAGUUCGAGAGAGGUGAGUGGAAUUCCGAGUGUAGAGGUGAAAUUCGUAGAUAUUCGGAGGAACACCAGUGGCGAAGGCGGCUCACUGGCUCGAUACUGACGCUGAGGUGCGAAAGCGUGGGGAGCAAACAGGAUUAGAAACCCGGGUAGUCCCA
rnacentral:rRNA from 1 species